rnacentral:lncRNA from 1 species
CAAAGAACUGAGAGUGUGUUUGCCUGGUGUUAAUCCCUGUCCUGUCUUUAAUAAACUGCAGACGUGGUCCGCCGAAGCCAGUGGUGUCGUGGGGUUCUUUGUGGCGAGAGACGAAGUCCGCUACAACUGUGCCAGUGAUUCAUGUAGCUUGUUAUAGAGUCUUACACCAUGGAGAAACGCACAGAACGCUCAGUGCUUGCAUGUAAUAGAAGGUGGGAAGAAACAGUCAGCCAAGGAGAAAAAGAGCCAUGAUUUCCAAAACUAUGAGAGAGGAGAGAGGUAAAUGGACCUGCCAUGGAUGGUUAUGUAAGUGCCAGUGGAAACAAUUUACCUCGGGCGUCGCAGAAACAAUCUGUCAUUAACUGAGUGUUUCCCCUGCAGGUUCAUUGAUGCAUCACCUUUCUCUUCUUUACUCUCAAAAUCACUUCAAUUUUCUCCGAAUAGUCAAGUUUUUAUUUGCAAGCAUCUGUGCCUUCAGAAUAAAC